UACGUAGGGUGCGAGCGUUAAUCGGAAUUACUGGGCGUAAAGCGUGCGCAGGCGGUUUUGCAAGCCGGAUGUGAAAUCCCCGGGCUCAACCUGGGAAUGGCCGUUGAAACUGGCGAACUGGAGUGUGGCAGAGGGGGGUGGAAUUCCGCGUGUAGCAGUGAAAUGCGUAGAGAUGCGGAGGAACACCGAUGGCGAAGGCAGCCCCCUGGGCUAACACUGACGCUCAGGCACGAAAGCGUGGGGAGCAAACAGGG
rnacentral:rRNA from 1 species